AACGACCGCUGGCGGCAUGCCUAACACAUGCAAGUCGAACGAGACCUUCGGGUCUAGUGGCGCACGGGUGCGUAACGCGUGGGAACCUGCCCUUAGGUUCGGAAUAACUCCCCGAAAGGGGUGCUAAUACCGGAUAAUGUCUUCGGACCAAAGAUUUAUCGCCCUUGGAUGGGCCCGCGUUGUAUUAGCUAGUUGGUAGGGUAAAAGCCUACCAAGGCGACGAUCCAUAGCUGGUCUGAGAGGAUGAUCAGCCACACUGGGACUGGGACACGGCCCAGACUCCUACGGGAGGCAGGAGUGGGGAAUAUUGGACAAAGGGCGAAAGCAUGAUCCAGCAAUGGCGCGUGAGUGCUGAAGGCCUUAGGGUUGUAAAGCGCUUUUAACCGGGAUGAUAAUGACAGUACCGGGAGAAUAAGCUCCGGCUAACUCCGUG
rnacentral:rRNA from 1 species